rnacentral:rRNA from 1 species
ACCCGCACAAGCGGUGGAUGAUGUGGUUUAAUUCGAUGCAACGCGAAAAACCUUACCCACCUUUGACAUGUACGGAAUCCUUUAGAGAUAGAGGAGUGCUCGAAAGAGAGCCGUAACACAGGUGCUGCAUGGCUGUCGUCAGCUCGUGUCGUGAGAUGUUGGGUUAAGUCCCGCAACGAGCGCAACCCUUGUCAUUAGUUGCUACGAAAGGGGCACUCUAAUGAGACUGCCGGUGACAAACCGGAGGAAGGUGGGGAUGACGUCAAGUCCUCAUGGCCCUUAUAGGUGGGGCUACACACGUCAUACAAUGGCUGGUACAAAGGGUUGCCAACCCGCGAGGGGGAGCCAAUCCCAUAAAGCCAGUCGUAGUCCGGAUCGCAGUCUGCAACUCGACUGCGUGAAGUCGGAAUCGCUAGUAAUCGUGGAUCAGCAUGUCACGGUGAAUACGUUCCCGGGUCUU